rnacentral:RNase_P_RNA from 1 species
UUUCGGGUGAUUGCGGCUGACUUAUGUCAGUUGAGGAAAGUCCAUGCUCGCACAGGCUGAGAUGCUUGUAGUGUUCGUGCUCGGUGAAAAAAUAAGCCGGGGGACCAGCAAUGGUUACGGCGAGUAAAAUGGCUAAGGCUUCGGCUAUGCUUGAGUAACUCUGAAAGUGCCACAGUGACGAAGCAAUAUUGGAAACGGUAUUGAUGGAACGCGGUAAACCCCUCGAGCGGGAAACCCAAACUUUGGUAGGGGAGCUUCACAUAAGGAACUGAACUGAUUGUGGGGGGAGACAGCAAUGUCUCGAGAUAGAUGAUUGCCACUGUACAAUUGAGCCUGAAAAUUGUACUUCGACAUAACAUGGCUUACAG